GAUGAACGCUGGCGGCGUGCCUAAUACAUGCAAGUCGAGCGAACAGACGAGGAGCUUGCUCCUCUGACGUUAGCGGCGGACGGGUGAGUAACACGUGGAUAACCUACCUAUAAGACUGGGAUAACUUCGGGAAACCGGAGCUAAUACCGGAUAAUAUAUUGAACCGCAUGGUUCAAUAGUGAAAGACGCUUUUGCUGUCACUUAUAGAUGGAUCCGCGUCGCAUUAGCUAGUUGGUAAGGUAACGGCUUACCAAGGCGACGAUGCGUAGCCGACCUGAGAGGGUGAUCGGCCACACUGGAACUGAGACACGGUCCAGACUCCUACGGGAGGCAGCAGUAGGGAAUCUUCCGCAAUGGGCGAAAGCCUGACGGAGCAACGCCGCGUGAGUGAUGAAGGUCUUCGGAUCGUAAAACUCUGUUAUUAGGGAAGAACAAAUGUGUAAGUAACUAUGCACGUCUUGACGGUACCUAAUCAGAAAGCCACGGCUAACUACGUG
rnacentral:rRNA from 1 species